GGAAUUCUUUUUGCCGGUUCCCUCCUCGGAACAGGAACAGCCUCCACUUGAAGAACACGCUGGAGGUGUGGAGAGACGCUGCGCUUGCCAGGAGGGCCCAAGUGGCUAUUUUAAUCUUGUGGAACAGCCCCCUCUUCAUGGAAAAUUUUCUACUCCAACACCUGCGGCACUAAAGACGCGGCUCUUUCUGCGCUCGGCUCCCUGGGGCCACACUCAGCUGGGGCUGGCUGCCAGCUCAGGUAAUUAUUCCUGCCGCCCUGCCCUUCCCCAGCCCUCCCAGCUCAGCCGCCUUCCUGGGGAGCACUUCGGCCGGCCUUCCCUCCUCUCCGGGGUCUCUGGAAGAAACCCUGGCAGCAGAGGCCCCCUCCCCAGCACCAGCGGCCUCUCUGGGCUUCUUGGGUCAGGCCUGCCCUGCUUUGGGCUCCCUCUGUCUCCUUACUGACGUCAUCUGGAAGCUGAAAAGUCACCUCGGGCAUGACUUUUCUAAGACUGAGCACAUGAGCUUCUCUGGGGUUCCCAUGGUACCCAACUCUAUAGGGACCGUGGAACAACGUGGUGCCCUGUUCUUCAACCCAAACCUGGUCCACUUUGUGCUUCUGAGCUCAUUGACUAGGACCAAAUAAGCCGUGUUGCAGGCCAGAAAUCUGGGAGUCAUUCUUGAUACUUCUUGUGUCUCUGUCCCCUGCCAAGUGCCAUCCAUCACCUGACCAUACCCCCCGCUUGUUCUCACUACCACCAUCUCUGGCAGCAGUGGCAGAGGACCUGCCCACACUCCAGCAUUAGCCCAUCAGCUGGAGGACAGCGUAGAAAUGGGGGCAAGAGUCAGGUGGAGACUUGAGGUGGAGACGUUCUAGCUCAUGGUCUAGAAUGUGGGUGCCAUCCCCGUAGGACGGUGUGUUCUAUGAAAGCCCGUCAGGUAAAGAAAGCUAAGACGGUACCAACGCAUCUUGACUGCAGUUCAACCAACACAGACUGCACUAAGUUGUUUGGAAUGGUAGGUGGCAUCCAGCUAGGCAAGUAGCUGAUCUUCUGUGUUCAGGGCUCUGCUUUUUCUGAAAGGCUAUUUAUAUGUGCAGUAGUGAUUUAAAAAAAAAAAAAUUGAAAGUAAUACCCAAAACAAUGAAAAAAAUAAUAACUUUCAAGAUGAUUAAAAUUCCCCCUGAUUAUUAUUCAAAUGUGAAACUGAUUACCAGAAGGCAGGGGGCAUAGCUAAUUAGUCUUUGCAUCACCCAGGGUACCCACAAUAUAUGAGACUCUGCUCUUAAUCCAUUUGUCAAGUGCUGGAAAAUGUCAAGCAGAAAUCAAUGACAGACAGAGGACACACUACUGCUGACCCAAUGUCCGAAUUUCUCCAGGCCCAGACUUCUCGUCCCUCUGCCGAUUGAGUUCUUGCUAGAACAACACCUUUACUGAUGACCGGGGGGAUUCACUGAAGCCAGGCAGCUCCAGGUGUGGGGCUUGUGGGAGGGGAACUCUGGCAGCCACGUCUCUGUGGCCUGGACCCUCAGGCUGGGCAUUCUAAGCAUUUUUACAGGGGAGCUCACUAAAAUGUUUCAGGUCCCACUCCAAGCAUAAACGUAAAUUUGAGCUCCCUCUUCUCUAUUUGGCAGAAGAGUAAAGUGAGGCCCAGAGAGAGGAUGUGGGUUGCAAAGGACACCUACAGAGUUGGUGGCAAAUCCAGCAAAUCCGGAUCUCUAGGUUCUUCCUGUAAGAAUCCUUUUGCAGAUACCUUCUGCCUUGGCUUGGGUGAAUAUCAACAAUUACAGAAACACUUUUUUGAAUUAAAAAAAAAAAUGAAUGAGUUGGGCACAGUGGUGCAUGCAGGAAGCUGACACAGGAGGAUCACAAGUUUGAGGCCAGCCUGGACAACUUAGUAAGACCCUGUCUCAAAAUAAACAAUAAAAAGGGCGAGGGGUGUAGCUCAGUGGUAGAGUGUUUGCCCAGCAUGCAUGAAGCCCUGGUUCAAUCCCCAGUAACACAGUAACAUACAGGCAAACUUACACACACGAGUUGAAUAUUAAUCCACCAAAAUAAUAUUGAAACAGAAAAAUGAAGUUGGAGGAUUCACACUUUGCAAUUUUGAAGCCAAUGACAAACUAACAGUAAUCAAGAUAUUGUGGUGCUCAUAAAAGAUAUAUAGACCAAAGGAAUAGAGUUGAACUAAGAUAAACCAGAAAUAAAUGCAUACACCUGUACUAAUUGAUUUUCAACAAAGAUGCCAAGACCUUUCAAUGGGGGAAAGAAGAAUCCCCUCAACAAACAGUGCUGGGACAAGUGGAUAUUCACAGGCAAACAGAGUGAAGUUGGACCCCUACCAUGCAAAUCUUUUAGAAAAAAACACUGGUUUAAAACAUCAUGAACCUGGAUUUGGCAAUGGAUUCUUUGAUAUGACACCAACAGAUUUGAGCAACAAAAGAAAAAAGAUAUUGGACUUACCAAAAUUAAAAACUUUUGCUGGGCACAGUGAUGCAUUCCUGUAGUUCCAGCUAUUUGGGAAGCUCAGAAAGGAGGAUCACUUGAGUCCAGUAGUCCAAGACCAUAGUGAGGACCAUAGUGAGACCCCAUCUCAAAAAACCCAGAAAAACAAUAACAAACCAAAAAACUUUUGUGCACCAGAAUGUGAAAAAACAACCUACAAUAUGGGAGAAAAUAUUUGUAAGUCAUAUACCUGAUACAAGUCUACUAUCUAGAAUAUAUAAAGAAUUUUUGCAACUCAACACCAAAAAGAGAUAAUCAGUCUACAAAUUGGAAAAGGACCUGAGUAGGUAUUUCUUCAAAGAAAGUAUACAGUGGCCAAGAAGCACUGAAAUGACGUUCUGCAUCACUAGCCAUUAGGGAAAUGCAAGUAAAAACCACAAUAAGAUAUCAGUUCAUACCCACAACGUUGGCUACGGUCAUAAUAAUAUUUUUAAAGAAACAUAACAUGUAUUGGUGAGGACGUGGAAACAUUCUAUCUAUUAUCCAUAACUGGUGGGAAUGUAAAGUGGUUCACCCACUAUGGAAGGUAAUAUGGUGGGCUCGAUAUAUUAAGCAUAGAAUUACCCUGUGAUCUGGAAAUUCCACUCCUAGGUAUACGCCCCAAAUAAUUAUAAACCCUCAACCAAACACACACCCAUCCAGACACACACCAAACACUGCGUUCACAGCAGCACCACUUACUUUAGCUCACAGAUGGCAACAGCUCAAGUGUCCAUCAACAGAUGAGUAAAUACAAAAUGUGGAAGAGAUGUGCUGCUGAGUAUCAUUCAGUCAUAAACAGCAAUGACGCCCUGCUGCGCCAGGACACGGAUGAGCCUUGAAAACUGUGCGCUAAGUGAAGGGAGCCAGUCACAAAGGGUCGUUUAUGACGUGGCUCCAUUUAUGAGAAAUGUCCAGGACAGGUAAAUCCAUGGAGACAGAAAGCAUGCUGGCGUGCGUGAGGGGCUUGGUGAACAGGGAAGGGAAGUAGCCAGACAGUGAGUGCGGCGUUUUCUGAGGUGACGAAAAUGUUUUGAAACUUGAGAGUGAUGAUGAUCGUGAUUGUGCAACUCUGUGAGUGUACUAAAGACCAGUCAGGAUACACUUCAAAGUGGUUUAUGUUAUGCAAAUUUCACCUUAAUCUAAAAAAUUAUUAGCUAAUUAAUUAUUAAUUGAACCAUGAUAAAGUAUAAUAAUAAACAAUGCAAUAUAAUUAUAUCAAUAUAAUUUAUGAAUACAUUAUAUUAAUUUAUCUAUAAUCACCAACAAAUUAUAAUAAAUCAAUUGAUUAAGUUUAUUAAUUUAAAAAUUUAUUCAGAAAGUCAUUGAGAUGGGGGAAAUAUUAAAAACCUACAUUGGGUCACUUGGAGAGAAGAAACUACUGACUGACAGCUUUUCACAUCACAGCCACUACAAGAAAAAUCAAUGUGUGUCCCCACCACAACCAGAGCACACCAAUUUCAAAACACCCCUGUUGAGCAACAGCAUCACCAACUUCCCCAACCAGAGGUCAGCUGGGCUGGCUGAGAUCUUUCCUGUCUUGGAGAUGUGUCCCUGCCUCCAAGCAGCCAGGUCCCUUUUGACCCAGCUUCACUGGGUUAUGAAUAUCACAGCACUGGGCGGGAACUGGGGCUGGGGGUGUGGUGGGCUGAGCAGGGAGGGCUCUCCUGGACCCCAGCUGCCACAGGCAGCAGGUUGGCUGUGGUUGGAGGGGCCACUUUUGUCAGCUGGCCAAGGGCUGGUUAGAAAUCCAGGGAUGAGCAGCUGAAGUGUUUGGUAGGGGAGGCCCUGACAGCAAAGCUAGAACCGAAUCCACCCAAAGGCCACUGCCACCAGGUUUCCCACGGGGCUCAGGAAUCAGUAGCAGAAAUGUUGGUGACGAAGGCUAAAGGAAGUGUGUGUCCCUGGAUGGUGCAGUCUGCUAGCAGAUAAAAGGAGACCUUAUUCAUUAUAGGUAUUACCAGGUGCCCGGCAGGGCUGGUGGACACAGACAAGGCCGUGAGUGAAGGCUGAAGGCUGGACCUGGAUGGAGACAGCAUCGGGGAUGUCUGAAACAUCAUGGGUCCUAUCUAGCAGCUUGGGUAGACAGGGUGAUGUUUCCUACCUUAACCAGCUCACCACCAAGCUCACUGGAUGGUUCUGCCUCGCUCCUGCAGCCUUUGAGAGCCCCUGUUGGCCUGGGUAAGUCUGGCUCAUCCUGUUUCUCCACAGAACCUCUUCUGCUGCUUUAUUCGUGAGAAGCCUAGCACGUGGCUGACUUUGGCGACCAGCAAGCUUCCUAGGGCAAACUCUCACCCAGCUCUGGUGGGGAUCAAGCACUCAGGCCUUAGGGAUGGCUCGCAGCCUAGACCAGUCCAGUCAAAAUCGCUUGUCACUCCCCUCUGCCCACACUGACUGGUUCAGAUGUGGGCAUGUGUGCUGGGCACAGCCGGUCAGAAUCCUCCCACAGAUUGACACAUGGACCCUGGAAGAGCCUUCCUGUGGGAGCCUGAGCUGUGAGGACUUGGGGUUCCAUAGCCAUGCUUCCCUGGGGCUUGAGAGCCUGGUGUGCAUCUCAGUACCACUGGAGAGGCAAGGAAAGGCGGAUAUGGAAAGAACAGACCCUGGAUGAUGUCGUCUUGCCUGAAAUCAUUAUGACUCAGACUGCCCCGAUACAGGGCCCUCGAUCUUUCUCUCUUCCCAUUUAGGAUCACAUGGAAUGGGCUUUUUUUCCCCUCAUACCCAACAGUCUUGACUGGUAUAGCAGCUGGAUCUUUGGUGAGGGGUCCCUAUUUUGAACACUAUGUGGCAGUGGAAGGAAUCUGUCUUAAGGAGAUCCCAUGGUUUUGGUGUGAGAUAGUCCUGUGGUCUGCUGUGAUUUCAGAGAUUUAUUCAUAACUGGGCACUUGGAGAGAGGCGACAAAUGCGAGGAGCUUGGAGUCAUCAAACAAAAUCCCUGGAGGAUAGUGCUGAGCUCAGCCCCAGCCACCAGGAGAGAGAGCUGAGCAGGCGCAGGAAGAGUGAGGGCCAGCCUGGGCAGCAGGACCCGGUGAAGAAGGCCCAGGUGAGGAGAGGCCAGGCCAGGGGCCAGGAUGGCGUCUGUCUCCCCCACCCUCCAUCCACCCAUUUUGCAUGCGAGGCGGCAUGCCACCUGCCGAGGUGACAACAGAGGGUCCAAUGACGUUGUUCCAGCCCUCACAGUGUCUAGCGGAGAAGAGAGAGAUUAGGGAAGCAGCUGAAGAGCAGAAAUUCAUGGUGGCAUGGAGCAAGCGAUAGGAGUACCUCACCGUCAGGGGGUUGAGGGAGGCUUCCUUGAAGAAGUGAUAUUUAAAUCCACGUAGAUAUGAACGCUUAGAUGUAAGAACCAUGUUUGAAUCUACAUCUUGUAGGACAAAAAUGGGCAGCAGCACAAUCACAGUGUGUGGUCAUUCUCAGAUCCCACGCCUGACAUAUAGAACACAUUUAGCAAUUGUAGCUAUUGCAAAUACCCAUGAUUUCUGGAUUAAGCAGAGAAGGGCUGCUAACUGCCACUUGUUCUCAUGUUAAUAAUUUUGUCUCCUGUUUUGAUCGAAAAGGAUGGAGGUGUCUGGAAUGUAGAUAUGCAGAUGGUGAAAAAGAGGGUGACCACUUUUGUUUGGGAGGCCCCUUAGUUUCUGCAGCUGUCCGGUGAACAUGCAUUGAUUGAGUGGCCACCCAGCCGUGCAAACUCUUUGUCCUGGUCUCUGAAAACAUGUCUUUGAUUCCAUGUAAACAGUCCUCUAGCCACUUUUUUGAUAAUAAGCCAUAUGUGGUCAGGAGCUAUCUAUUUUCAGUCUAAUUAAACAAACUGCAGAUAUUUAUUAAGUGCCAACUAUGUGCCAAGGCUGGUCCAGGCACUAAAGACAGGGGGACGGAAGGCAUAUCGCUGCAAGAGUCCUGGGAGGAAGAGAGGCAAGUGAGGUAGGUUCACUGCAGGGAGUGACAGAUUUUUGGAAUGCUGGAGAAGCAGAGGAAGGAGGGGUUGAUUCUUCCUGGGGAAGGGGCUAAGGCGUAGCCACAAGCAGAUGUGACUUUCAAGGAGGUGGACAUCCCUAAGGUGGCAACAGUAUUCCUAGUUAGACACCCUGUGGCCAAAGUCUGGAGAUUUCAGUGGCCUCCUUGGCUUGUGUGGGGGCUUUUUUAGGAAGAGGAGGAAAUCAGACUGGAGCAGCAGAUGGUGUGGACGGUUAGCAGAGUCUGGACUAUGACGGUAAGGAGAUCCUGACAGGUUUGAGUCAGGAUUUGAGGUGAGUAGAGGGCAUUCUGGAAAGAUGACGUGGAUGUGUGAGGAGUGGACCAGGCAAGCUGGGGUUGAAGGACAGCGGGGGCUAUAGAAACAGCUCUGAUGAGACGUAGUGUUGGCCUGAGCCAGUUGGAUGGCAGGUGAGGGUUUCCAGGAGGUUUGGAUGGAAGUUGGCCAGAUGUUCCAAGAGAUCAGACGUGAGGCUGGAGGAAUCGAGGUGCUGACAGGUCCAAGUGCAUUUCAUCCACUUACCU
rnacentral:lncRNA from 1 species